rnacentral:lncRNA from 13 species
GUUUGCCUGAGUUCAAAGCCCAGCUCUGCCACUGGCUUCUCUGUGCUUUUGUUGCCUGAUGUGUAAAGUGGAGGCAACAAAAAGACCUUCCUCUAAUGUAUGAAAAUUGCAGCCUCACAACAGUGUCUGGCAUUUGAAAAGUGCUAUAUAUGUGUGUGCUGUUAUUGUUUCUUUAUUCUUUUAUGAUUUACUAGGAGAUGCCUAUGUGACAGACUUUGGGCUGGGCAGCCACCAGGGAUUCAGGGGAAGUCACAAAGGGUGAAACAGGCAAUUACUAAACCAGCAUUGUGGUGUAGGUAAGCACAGGGUGCUAUGGAAACGCAGAGGGAGGGCACCUAACCUGGAUGGGACAGGCUUGAGAGGAGGAGUGUUCCAGAAAGACUUCCUGGCAGAGGUGGUAUCUGACCUGGGUUAGCCUGUGAGCUGCAAUGGAGGAAUUACGGAGGAUUUCACUGAGAUUCACCUGUUACACACCAGGUCCUGCACUCACAUUCUGGGAAACAGUGGCGGACGCGGCAGUCUCCAGCUCUCGAGCAGCCUACAGUCUAGAGGACCUGGUCCGGUUAUAACCCCAACGGAAAGAGGAUAGUGUUACAAAAACAAUUUUCCUGUGUUUGUGUCAUAGAUGCCUUUAAGAAAACAAUGGAAACUGAAAACCCUGGCCCCAGAAGAAGCAAAUAGAUAGACAAACACAAGAAUGUCUAGAGGUGACAGAGAGGCUCAGGGGAAGAUCAAGUUUAAGUGCUAGGCAGAGGCAGUAAGGUUCAAAGACAGGUUGGAUGGUGGGCAUGAAAAUGCUGUGCUAAGGGAUGUCUGAAUGAAGGCCAGAGUGGUCACAGCUUAGGGGAUGG